rnacentral:lncRNA from 1 species
AAUGGAAUCAGGCUUACAAAAUCUACACUCCAAAGCAUAGCAUUGCUGUGAUGAUAGCCCUCUUUUGCCUUCACGAAAUGGAAUCAGGCUUGGGUGCAUAAAUGAAGAGAAGAUAACUUGACACAUAAAAGCAGUAACACUAUGGGCACUUAUAAAUCACAUCGAGUACUCUACAGAAACUUCUAACCAUAUAUAGCAGUGUGCACACUUUCUAAGUACAGCCCAGGGAUAGCCCGAAACACCCACCAACACCACAGCGACAAACACACAAAAUAGAGUGACGUGUCAUCGUCGCCGAGCUAAGCCUGACAAGAAAGGAAGCCGCACAAACUGCCGUUCUUUCUGAACAUGAGAAUGGUACACCUCAAAGGCAUGUAAUCUCCUAUGAGUGUCUUGUUACUCUCCAGGACUUAGGACUUUCAUCUUGACUUUAUCUGAGUGUAACAAUUGAAACUAACUUUCCAUUGGAAACUCUGUUUGGGAACAAUGAACCCCACAAAAUAAAUUUCAUUGGACUCCAACCUGCAGCAAAUAAUAAAGCAUUGAUAUAGGUGAUCUCAAAUGCUAAAACUCCAUGACAAAGAUAACCUGAUGAACACAUAGGCGAUCCAUUACUGCAGUUAUAACAUGCAAUAAAAACAUAUUUCUUGAAGGAAAAAUGUUAUACUGUGUAAAUCCAUAAUCCAUAUUGGCAUCAAAUUUUAGAAAUAAGCGUUUGUUAAAAUUCUAAAAACCAUUCAAUAAAAACAUAUUUCUUCAAGGAAAAAUGUUAUAAUGUGAAAAUCUAUAAUCCAUAUUGAUAUCGGAUUUCAGAAAUAAGCGCUUUCAAGCUAGUAUUCAGUUAUCUAAUGGAUCUAUACAAUACUCUUUUGGGCUAGUAAGGCUAAUAUAGUUCUCGUUUUUCAAGUGUAACCUUCAACUUGGAGUUUACAAAAAUGGCAUAUGUAAUGCUAAAAAGAGAUAUACCCAUUGCAUCUCUAUAUAUGCUUUAUACUUCUAUAUAUCAUACUUAGAAGAUCAUCGUAUCAUGCAUGCAUACUACUUUGAUAUUUAAACCUUUGUUUUUAUGUUAACAAAGUCGUCAUACCUAACUUUUAUUCCGUCCUCCGCCACUGAGUAGAUGUUGUCAUCCCAAGGGGGUAACAUGUGAGUCUAUCACCUAUGAGAGUAAUAAAUAAAGCUCUCUGUUGUUCGUCAGCGAUGGAAAGAUAUCACCAUGGCCAGGAGGUAGCACAAAUAUGUUCAAAACUGGUACAAGUACUCAUGCCAUGAACAACCUAAAAUUUACUCAACUCACCUGAUUGAAUUAAUGUUCGGAUUUCAAGGCUUUGAAUUGGCAUAUUUGUCAACAACCUGCAGAGAAAAGAAUACUUUUUAGCAUUCAAAAAUUAUUUAGUUGAUGCAAAAAAAGAAGUAAAAAAAUAGCAUGAUUGUAGAAAUACACCAAAAAAAACUGAAGAAUGCUUAAAUGAAACGAAAUUAUAUUCUCUGUAGAGAACCAAACAGACAUGCUGCAACCAUCUAGAACAAAGUUCACUGUUACUCUGUAAGCUAAUCACAAGCACUUUUGUUGUAAAAGGAGACAUUUACGGCUUUACCCCUAACACUAUGCAUAAUUGCCUUUGCCUAAGCUGCACAUAAAAGAAAUUAGUGCUUAGGCUAUGCUGACAGUCCAUGCAAUCCUAUCUUGAGUGGGAAUUGAGCAAAUACUUAGAUUAGUAAAAAAGAUUUAAAAAUUAGUCCGGACAGAAAUACCAAUGACAGUACCCACAAUUAAUCUCACGAUAAAGAUAAUCUCACAAGUACUAAAAUAAAGAUUUACUGAUCAUUAGAGAUUUUUCAGUGAUCUCAGGCGGAGGGGUGGGGUCUGUGCAAGGAAGCAGAUAUAAGUGGACUCAUCAUGAAAGCAUAAGAGUUCUCUCACCAUAAUGCAAAUGUGAGGAUCAAUUAGGGACCAAAUCAAAACAGAGGAAACAAAAAGUCUGGUAUGAAGUCAGGAACCAAUAUACCAAAGAUAAACUAUUUCUAAAUUAGUAUAGCGAAUACAUCUAUUAAUAACUACUUGCAGAGAGCAUAUUAAGGUUAAUAACUAAAUGUAGAGCAUAGAAAGGCACAGAAAUAGAGAAUCUAUUUAGUAGCCAAGAUGAUGGCACCUAAAUGUCCAGAGGUGGCCUUAGCUCUGAAGGCAGAUAAUAAAUCACAAUCGUACCCAACAAAUAAUGAGAUUUCUGAGAUUUGAAUAAACAACUUUUUAUGUUAAUUGGUUUCCCUUAGGAGGUACUUACAGGCAGCAAGAAGCAUGUCCUCAUGGACACGGAUUGCUCCUGAAAUAACGAGACCAAGGCCAAAUCCCGUACAGCCACAUCUCCCAAGGCAUUGCAUCCAUAAUCCUCGCCGCCCAACCACCAGCCUCUGAUAUCAUGAUGAAGAAGUCUUCAGAAUAAAUCUUUGUGCGAAUAUGGAAUAACAAUUUCAGGCAUGCAAGGACAAUAUCGACAAAUUGAUCAACAUAUUUCAGAAAAUGGGAAGGAAAAGAUUUUGGUUUUACCAACAACCUGUUCAAAUUAUAAAAAUUCUCGACGAAUUAUCAAUGGAAAAGGACUAAGACAAAAUCCAUCAGAGAAGGUAGGGAAAAACUUAUUUAUUUAUUUCUUUAACUCUGAUUCUUCUCUCUAACCCCAAUAUAAUUAACAUUUAUAUGCGUCAAUCCAUAGAAACACAAUUUAUGAGAAUAAAGACUAAAAUUGCACCUAGCUCUUCAAUGCAGUCCACACUGCAGGACAACCCCUAAUGGUUUGAAGAUUAAUGAGCACAUGAUGUUAUGAUUCAAGACUGCAUAUAGCCAUAUAUGCAUGAGAUUUCAAGGAUUUCAAUCAAGUAAAAAUGUGUGCAGAUUUAGCUACCAGGAUGCAUACAUGGGAAGAACCCAGCAUCUCUAUUUACCCAUGAUCAGCUCAAUCAUAAGCCAUCAACCAAUUAAAUGUUUACAGAUUGCCUGCAAGAGCAUUUAAGCCAUUAAAGCCCAUUAGUAGUCUGUUUACUUGGGAUCUGUUGUUGUAAUAACUUCUAUGCUCGAAAUAUAAUGGCAUCACAAGAUAUUAACCAUAGUGUCUUCAAAUAAGUGGUCGACUUCCACAUAGUAAAAAAAACUCUAACAAAGGAUAAGAGAAAAUCUGCCUCCAACAAAGAUUAAUUUCUAACAAAAUGAAAUAUUAUAACAACAAGUUCCUCAUGGUGACAGGGCCAAGCCAACAAUGCAAGCCUAGCAUGGCGGUGUCGGUGUGAUGCAUGCAGCAGCAAACUCAGCCAGGAGUAGUAGCAGCAAGCGAGCAAUUGGCACCGUGUUAUCAAAGCACAACAUUCAAGGAGUGAUAAAGCCAUGGUGGAAUUGAGCACACCUUGCCCCUUCAUCGCCUCCCCCUUCCUCCCUCAUUUGACAUGUCUCUCCUCUCCCUAAGCCUCACUCUAUCAUGAAACAUUUUGAUGCCUUUCCAUCUCUCCCUUUCUCUCCCUCUCAUGUAACCUCUCUUUCUUCUCAUUCCAUGUAACCUGACUCCCCCAACCUCUCACCCUCUUUCUUCUCAUUUUAAGUAACCUCUCUCUCCCCAAGCUCUAUCCAUGUCUUCAAUCUCCCUUUCUCUCCCUCUUUUUGUCUCUCUACUGCUCUCUCAUGCAACAUCGCCCCUCUACCCUCCUCUACCUCCCUCCUUAUCUCAAGAAACCUCUUGCUCUAUCCCUCCCUCCCUCUCUACCUACCUCAUGCAACCUCACCCUCCCUAUGUGUGUCCCUCCCUGACUCCAUGUAACACCUCGCUCUCCCUCUCCUUCCACGUUCCCCUUCCCUCUCCCUUCCUCCUUCAUGUGACCUGUCUCUCACCUCCAUAUGCCCUUUCGCUGUCUCACCCUCUCUCCCUUUCUCUCUCUCUGUCUGACUAUCUCCUUCUCUCCUUCCUCUCUCUCAUGUAACCUGCCUCUCUCUAUCUUCCCAUUUGGCAUAAUCUCUGCCUCCCAACCUCUCUCCCUCUUUCUUGUCAUUUCUAGUAAGCUCUCUCCCUCCCCCCUGAGCUCUCUCCCUCCAUUUUUCUCAAUCUUGCUCUCUUCCCCUCCCUCCAUCUCGCUCUCUCAUGUAACAUAUCACUCUGUCCUUUUCUACCAAAGUGAAGUACUUACGAAAUAACUGAAGUGCAAGAAAAACAAAUGAGAAACAGAAUGUGCGUGUGUUUCAUAGGUGUUACAUGGACACCGGUGCGGGUGUCGGACUCUGACACAUGUGCAGGUGUCUGAUUCGGCAAAUCCUAAAACAGGAUUCGGGUUCGUGGACUUGACUAAUAUAUCAAUUGUUUUUUAAAGCUAAUAUAAAGUGGCAGCCUAAAAGCAAGAUUCUGGGACUUGGUUUCAAAAAUAGUACUCAUUUGCACCUUAAAAAUGAAAGAUAGAAAACAUAUGCCACCUGAAUUUGACAUCCUCAGAGGUCAAACCUUUCCCACAACGUUGUAUCAAGGCCGCGUCUUGCCUGCGCAUACUCACCAGGUAUCAAGAGUGAGCGGGCCGAACACAGUAAAUCAAGGGCAUCAGAGAACAUGACACUACAACAACACAUCAAAGGCUCAGAGCUAUUUGUUAUAAUCAGAUGGCCCAACUGAAAUAACAUGGCAGUACAUGCAUCCAAAAAUUACUGAAAGUCAGUCCUGGGGAUUGUUAGAAGAUAGGGUUACUCACUAAAAUUACCCUGCUAGUUCAUUGGCCAUUGGCACUACAUGCACAUGAGAAUUAUCAUCUGGCGAGACAUGCAAAUAAAAAAAUAAUUCUUUGUGAUGUGUAGUACAGGCGUAGAGCACAGCGAUGAUGAAAAUAAGCACGUUUCUGAGUAUAUAUGUAUUCUGUCAUGUAUUCUUGGUACCUUGUAGCCAGGGAACAAACAAUAUCAUUACACAAGUGGCGUGAGCAACAAGUACAAGUGGUAUCAACUGCCAUUCAAGCAAACCCAAGCUUUAUUCUCUGAUGUCAUUAUCUAUCCCCAGCUUGAGCUGGUGAAACAUAAACUGUUUGAAUGUCAUUAAUCCUAACCUACAAACAUUCAGAAUCAUAUAAGCUAACAUGCAAGUAGGCAUCCAUCAGGUUGAAAGUGGAAAAAAAAAAACUGAAUAGGAGACAUGGAUGAACAGAACACACGCAGAGCCCGGGAACUAACAGCAAUCAACCAAUGAGCAGAUCAAACCCAUCUACUACUGGGCAAAGAUUUACAUACCUUUCAGUGUUGUCUUGACCAUUAGUGGUACCACCAUAUCCUGAAUGAGGCCUAUCUGAAAUAAAAGCGAGGAGUCAUUUUUUAUGAGACAUUGUCAGGAAACACAUAGAAGGACAUCGGCUUUGUGUAUUCGUUAGCUUGUCAUAUAUACCAAACUAAUAAAAGUUUUUGCUGUUAUGAAUCCCAAAAGUACUGGUGUCAACUUGUGUCAUCAAGCAAUAAGAAUUUGCUGUUAGGGUUUAGGGUAUCUAUAAUAUAUAAAUUUAUAAAUUUAUCAUUCAAAAAAGAAUUUAUACACAGACAAAGACUCAACAGGCUCCCCAACCUAUUGCAGCCACAAUUAGAGAAUGUAUGAUAAGUCAAAUAGCAGGAGCCUCAUUGUCUAGCAUUAUGAGCUGCAGCUACAUGGCAGCGACGUAAGAUCACUUAAACACAUCACUCUGUUUUCUCAGGCCAUGAAAUCGCAAUUCUUUUUUUCUAGCCGAAAGAAAUUGUUAACUCAUUAGUAAAUUUUCUUUGCAAAGAUACAGCAGUCCAAUUCCCUCGGAUACCAUUCUAAAAGUAGGUGCCCUUUGAUGCAUCAAACAUCUAAAAGUCUGUGAGGCAGAACUGAUGAAAUGGAAUAGUUAUUACAUAGAGAAAAAUAUAUAGAGAGAGGUGUCUUAGUGAGGAGAGAGAGAGAGCGGUGUCUUACACCCACCACCAUCUUGUCAAUUUCAGAAAUGGCAAUUUGUUCGGAAACAGAAUGUUAUGAAACCUAAUACAGGAUACCACCGCCUCCACUUUAAGAAACAUCUGGAAGAAAUAGAGAUUAAAUCCAACAGAUUUUAGAAACUCAAUACAUGCAUACAACUUGUAAUUCUAUCAAUUGCUCUGUUUUACAAUUUUAAAUAUCAAGUCCUCUACAGAUGAUUCUAAAAAUGCAUGGUAAUUGCAAGAAUAUGAUCUUCUAAUUUAUAAGUAUUGAAAUGUAAAUUGACUCACAGGGCAAUAUCUUAUUAAUAAACAUAUAAAUAACAAAAGGGGAGCAUGUUAGUUACCUGGUGGGAAAUCAUCUAAUGCUUGGUACCAUUUAUCUUAAAAAUGCACACUCAUCCCUCCCAGUAACCUGAAUCUCCAUCCAGCAUGAGUAUCAUGCCGUAUGUAGAGGGCUGUAACGCAAAAGAAAAGGGCAUGGAUUCCAGAAUGAGCACUGAAACUGAAAGAUGACUGCAGAUAACUUGGCACAAGCAAAAGUAAAAAAAAAAUUAUUACUAAUGACAUGUUGUGCUUGAGGACCAAGUAAAUCGAUAUAUUAUACUACCUCCGUCCCAUAAUAUAAGAGCGUUUUUGACACUACACUAGUGUCAAAAACGCUUUUAUAUUAUGGGACGGAGGGAGUAGAUAAUAUCGUCGACCUCAUCCAUCUCCUCCGUGACCCUGAAUGGCUACGCGCCUCCCGGCAUCUCGAACAGUGGCGUAUCCCCACUAGCAGUGGCAGUGGCCUGGCC